rnacentral:tRNA from 1 species
AUUAUUUUAGUAAAAAUUAGUAUUAUAUCGUCUUGAUAAGGCGGAGUUCUGCUGGAAAUAAUA